CCUCUACCUUGCACUUGUAUGGCUUCUCUCCGGUAUGCACCCGUAUAUGCUCAGUUCUAGCCCAUGCCCACUUGAAUGACAUGGAGCAACCCUUCCAUGGGCACUUGAGAGGUCUAUCAUCUUCGUGAACACGCUGAUGAAUUAUUGCAUAUUUGUGGGAGCUAAAUCUCUUCCCACAGCCUUCGUAUGGGCACCGGUUGCGCUUGUGCAACUGUAGCUCUGCCUUUGUCUCAAAACUCAUGGUGCAACCUUCUAGGUCACACUUGUAUGAUCUCUUUGCAGUUUCUUUCUUUUUUGUGCAAGGAACUGAAACAUCAGAAGGUUUUCUGGCCUUCUUUCUCAGUGGAUUCUCUUGAGUUGAUUUUCUAUUAUCAAUCCCAUUUCUACACGUUGCAUCUUU
rnacentral:misc_RNA from 1 species